rnacentral:rRNA from 1 species
ACCCACCGUNCACCUUGNCUCUGCCACACCCCCACGGGUCUUGCAGCAGUAAUUAAUAUUAAACAUAAGCGAAAGCUCGAUUUAGUUAUAGUAGACACAGAGCCGGUAAAUUUCGUGCCAGCCACCGCGGUUAUACGAAAAGCUCAUAAUAACGGCCUUCGGCGUAAAGUGUGGUUAGAACAUACAAAUUAAGGACAACACCUUCUACGCUGUAAAACGCCCAAGACCCCUGGAAUUAUCCAACCCCCUUAUAAAAAUUUGACACCACGAAAGCUGGGGCACAAACUGGGAUUAGAUACCCCACUAUGCCCAGCCAUAAACUUAGAUAGCAAAAUACUACCUAUCCGCCAGAGAACUACAAGCAAAAUACUUAAAACUCAAAGGACUUGGCGGCAUUCCAUAUCAACCUAGAGGAGCCCGUCCAAUAAUCGAUAAUACGCGUUCAACCCCACCAUUUUUGGCCACUCCAGCCUAUAUACCGCCGUCGCCAGCUAACCUUGUGAAAGAAAAGUAGUAAGCACAAUAGUCAUCGCUAAAACGUCAGGUCAAGGUGUAGCUAAUAAAAUGGGUGUGAUAGGCUACAUUUUCUAACAUAGAAAACACAGAAGAUACAAUGAAACCUUGUAACAGAAGGCGAAUUUAGAAGUAAACUAAGAAAGGACCCUUACUUUAACACCGCCCUGGAAUGCGCACACACCG